rnacentral:rRNA from 1 species
CCUACGGGUGGCUGCAGUGGGGAAUAUUGGACAAUGGGCGAAAGCCUGAUCCAGCCAUGCCGCGUGUGUGAAGAAGGCCUUCGGGUUGUAAAGCACUUUCAGUGGGGAAGAAAGCCUUGGGGCUAAUACCCUCGAGGAAGGACAUCACCCACAGAAGAAGCACCGGCUAACUCCGUGCCAGCAGCCGCGGUAAUACGGAGGGUGCGAGCGUUAAUCGGAAUUACUGGGCGUAAAGCGCGCGUAGGCGGUCUGAUAAGCCGGUUGUGAAAGCCCCGGGCUCAACCUGGGAACGGCAGCCGGAACUGUCAGGCUAGAGUGCAGGAGAGGAAGGUAGAAUUCCCGGUGUAGCGGUGAAAUGCGUAGAGAUCGGGAGGAAUACCAGUGGCGAAGGCGGCCUUCUGGACUGACACUGACGCUGAGGUGCGAAAGCGUGGGUAGCAAACAGGAUUAGAUACCCUGGUAGUC